rnacentral:lncRNA from 1 species
UUAAAAUCAAAUAAUCUAAAACAAGUCCUAACAGUCCUUAACUAUUUGACUUAUGUAAAUGAGUAGGCGUUAUGUGCCAAAUUUACAUGACUUGCUACAAGCGUCAAGUAAACUUGUGUUUGGGCCUUAAACAAACAUUACAUUCCCCGAAUGAGGAUUUUAGGUUCUUGACUAAAGAAAUCAAGAGAAAGCAAUUGAGAAAUACUAUAAGCUACAGUGUAUGCAUGAAUCUUUACAACAAUUUACAACAAUUUGCCGUUUAUCAAGAUUAAACCUCUACAUUUCAAACAAACAAAUUAAUACAAUUCUUGGUCUCAAAUAAGCAUUCCCACAGUUGACUCUAUUCAUGCCUACAAUCCAAAGAUACACAACUGACUUUCAACUCAAAAAUUUCUAAAGCUACAGACUUCCUUUUUUUUAAAAAAUUUCCAAACCAAAAUAAUCUGAAGCCCCUCACACACCCAAACUUUAACUUAUUAGAACAUGAAUGCAAAACUCGAAUUUCAGCAGUUAUACUCUCAAAUGCUAGCAUCAUGUAUUCAAGGAUGAGGUGUGCAGGUUAAAGUCUAGCCAAACAUAUGAGGUUAGCUCUACCUUUAAUUACAGAGAUCAAUUCUGAAACAAAAACUCAUUUUUAAUAAAUAGAUCUACAGAAGGUUUUAAGGGUUAAAUCAUACAGAGUAAACAUUCAAUUUAUAUGCAAAGCAAAAUAAGCAGUAAACUUGUUCAUGUCACAACAAAUGACUCUAAAAAUGGCCAGUAUUUCAUUGUAAACCAAAGAAUAAAUACAGAAAUGAGAAGUGUACCUAUUUGCUUAUAGAUGAACUGGAAUUAGCCAAAUAGAGGCUAAACAAACAACUAACGAGUGAGCUCAACAGGAUCAGCAACAGGAAAUAGAAGAACAACCUCAAGUCUUAGUUAAUCCAGCAGAGUGACAGCAACAGAUUUUUUCCAAUAGUUCUAUGCAAUUUUGAAGAAAAACAGAAAGUUGAACAGCAAAUCAAAACUAGAAACCACUUGUGAAAAAGAAAAUUGAUGGAAUUCUCAAAGUGCUAUCUUCCAGAAAUUAGUUAAAAAAAUAAAAAGAGACUCUUGAUUUUUUUCAGAGAAUUAGUGUGUAUUCGUGUGUGUGUGUAUUUCUGAUCUGGAAAUGAGGGUGGAGGGGCAGCGCUGCUCUGUCGUUUUGGAAAGGGAGGUUCUUGUUCUUGUGUGUUGAUGAAAAUGGAGAAAAAAAUCUCCCAGAUGCGUCGUUGUUCUGGUUUUUGCAGAGGUAAUCCUUCUUUUUUAGUUCUCUGAAGAUGAUGAUGGGUUGACGAGCAAGUCGGAGAAGAUCCGUCGUUUUCUAAAAAUGGGAGGACCAGGGUAUCUGAUGU